rnacentral:rRNA from 1 species
AAUCAACGCUGGCGGCGUGCCUCAGACAUGCAAGUCGAACGAUUAAGACUCUCUUCGGAGAGUGUAUAAAGUGGCGCACGGGUGAGUAACACGUAGGUAAUGUACCGAAGGGUGGGGAAUAACUUAGGGAAACUUAAGCUAAUACCGCAUAAUGCAGCGGCUCGACAUCGAGACAGUUGUUAAAGGAGCAAUCCGCCUUUUGAGCAGCCUGCGGCAGAUUAGCUAGUUGGUAAGGUAAUGGCUUACCAAGGCUACGAUCUGUAACCGACCUGAGAGGGUGGUCGGUCACACUGACACUGAAUAACGGGUCAGACUCCUACGGGAGGCAGCAGUCGGGAAUUUUGGGCAAUGGGCGAAAGCCUGACCCAGCAACGCCGCGUGAAGGAUGAAGUAUUUCGGUAUGUAAACUUCGUAAGAAUAGGAAGAAUAAAUGACGGUACUAUUUGUAAGUCGGCUAACUACGUGCCAGCAGCCGCGGUAA